CACCCGGUGGCACAAGGUGUGCGUCUGCUAUUCUUGGGGACGACCAUUCGCAGUUUAUGCAGAAGGGCCCCGUUCGAUUCGGGGUCGGGUGA